rnacentral:rRNA from 1 species
UACGUAGGGUGCAAGCGUUGUUCGGAAUUACUGGGCGUAAAGCGCGCGUAGGCGGGCUUGAAAGUUGAUUGUGAAAGCCCUGGGCUUAACCCGGGAAUGGCAGUCAAAACUACAAGUCUUGAGUGCCUGAGAGGAUGGCGGAAUUCCCGGUGUAGUAGUGAAAUACGUAGAUAUCGGGAAGAACACCUGGGGCGAAGGCGGCUAUCUGGCGGUGCACUGACGCUGAGGCGCGAAAGCGUGGGGAGCAAACAGG